UGGGGAAUAUUGGGCAAUGGGCGAAAGCCUGACCCAGCGACGCCGCGUGGGCGAUGAAGGCCUUCGGGUUGUAAAGCCCUGUCAUGCGGAAAGAACGACCCUGUGACGCAUACUCACAGGGAGUGACGGUACCGCAGGAGGAAGCACCGGCUAACUCCGUGCCAGCAGCCGCGGUAAUACGGAGGGUGCAAGCGUUGUUCGGAAUUAUUGGGCGUAAAGGGCGCGUAGGCGGUAAUGUAAGUCAGAUGUGAAAUACUCCGGCUCAACCAGAGAACAGCAUCUGAAACUGCAUAACUAGAGUACAGAAGAGGGAAACGGAAUUCCCGGUGUAGAGGUGAAAUUCGUAGAUAUCGGGAGGAACACCAGUGGCGAAGGCGGUUUCCUGGUCUGAUACUGACGCUGAGGCGCGAAAGCGUGGGGAGCAAACAG
rnacentral:rRNA from 1 species